rnacentral:rRNA from 1 species
GCGGAGGGAUCAUUACCGAGUUUACAACUCCCAAACCCCUGUGAACAUACCACUUGUUGCCUCGGCGGAUCAGCCCGCUCCCGGUAAAACGGGACGGCCCGCCAGAGGACCCCUAAACUCUGUUUCUAUAUGUAACUUCUGAGUAAAACCAUAAAUAAAUCAAAACUUUCAACAACGGAUCUCUUGGUUCUGGCAUCGAUGAAGAACGCAGCAAAAUGCGAUAAGUAAUGUGAAUUGCAGAAUUCAGUGAAUCAUCGAAUCUUUGAACGCACAUUGCGCCCGCCAGUAUUCUGGCGGGCAUGCCUGUUCGAGCGUCAUUUCAACCCUCAAGCACAGCUUGGUGUUGGGACUCGCGUUAAUUCGCGUUCCUCAAAUUGAUUGGCGGUCACGUCGAGCUUCCAUAGCGUAGUAGUAAAACCCUCGUUACUGGUAAUCGUCGCGGCCACGCCGUUAAACCCCAACUUCUGAAUGUUGACCUCGGAUCAGGUAGGAAUACCCGCUGAACUUAAGCAUAUCAAUAAGCGGAGG